rnacentral:rRNA from 1 species
CCUACGGGGGGCAGCAGUGGGGAAUAUUGCACAAUGGGGGAAACCCUGAUGCAGCGACGCCGCGUGAGUGAAGAAGUAUUUCGGUAUGUAAAGCUCUAUCAGCAGGGAAGAAGAAAGACGGUACCUGACUAAGAAGCCCCGGCUAACUACGUGCCAGCAGCCGCGGUAAUACGUAGGGGGCAAGCGUUAUCCGGAUUUACUGGGUGUAAAGGGAGCGUAGACGGCCAGACAAGUCUGAAGUGAAAAUCCAGCGCUUAACGUUG